rnacentral:rRNA from 1 species
AACGUAGGAGGCAAGCGUUAUCCGGAAUUACUGGGCGUAAAGGGCGUCUAGGCGGUAUGGCAAGCGGGAUGUGAAAGCUCCUGGCUCAACUGGGAGAGUGCGUUCCGAACUGCCGAACUAGAGGCCAGGCGAUGGGGGUGGAAUUCCCGGUGGAGUGGUGAAAUGCGUAGAGAUCGGGAGGAACACCAGUGGCGCAAGCGGCCCCCAAGCCUGAGCCUGACGCUGAAGCGCGACAGCGUGGGGAGCAAACAGG